rnacentral:rRNA from 1 species
UACAGAGGGUGCGAGCGUUGUCCGGAAUCACUGGGCGUAAAGGGCGCGUAGGUGGUGGCUUAAGCGUGCGGUGAAAGCUCGGGGCUCAACUCCGAGUCGGCCGUGCGAACUGGGCUCACUGGAGCAUAGUAGAGGCAGGUGGAAUUCCGGGUGUAGCGGUGGAAUGCGUAGAGAUCCGGAAGAACACCGGUGGCGAAGGCGGUUAGCUGGGCAGUUGCUGACACUGAGGCGCGACAGCGUGGGGAGCAAACAGG